GCGGAAUGCAGAGUGAGUUGAUGGCAAGAAGUUGAUCCAUGGAGAAAAUGUCUGAAAUCUGCAUUCUCUUGCCCCUGAGGCCACAUAUACAUCUGAGUUUUCAUCUGGUAUCUCCCUUCAGUCUGCUGAGAAGUGUGGCGAAUAGCAACUGCCGAGGAUAUCGGGCAGUGUUCGACAUCCCUUCCCAGAAACUGAUCCAAGGUGCAUGUGAGAUAUGCAAAGAACAAAUGCAAGACCGUUCCUUCUUCAGUGCUAGGAAAUUAGAUGGAGGAUAGUUCUGAUGAACCAGUUCUGCAGGAGUUACCAGCGUGUCAUUUACUAAAUAAUUACCAGAGGACAGGAAAUGUCUUUGACUCUAACCUAGUGGGGAAAUAAUUGGAGGUGAGGUGUCAGGGUCCUACUUCAGUUCAUGCCUUUACUCUGGCCUUGCUCUCCGAUUUAUGACAAACUACCUCAUUUUGGUAAAAGAGCAUGAGUCCAGUCAUCCACAAUAGCUCUAU
rnacentral:lncRNA from 1 species